GUCCACCUCCCUCAGCCAGGAAGGGGGCGAUUGAUCCAUCUGUCGAUGGGCUGGGCUCACCGGCGUGUUUUAGUCACGGAAUUUACAAUAAAUGCCCAGAAGCACCAAAAAGGAAGCGUCCGACUGAGAAAGGGCUGAAAGAGCAACAGUGUGAGGAAACCAUGAGAACUGGAAUUUCUUCUCCUUCCUGUGGGUUUGUUUGACCGACUCCUCAGAGUGCAAGUCUACAUCCUAGGAAGGAUCCCACCCAGAGGGCGCGGCUGAUGGUGCCCGGCUCGCGGUGGGCUUUCCCAGCCCUGCUCCAGCCUGUCUCCCUCCUAAUGGCAGGCUGACCCCAUCACCAACACUCGAGGUACUCACAAGGCUGCCGUGAGCGAUCUUACACUGCCUGCUCAAGGACU
rnacentral:lncRNA from 1 species